GUCCGAUGACCAAGCACUAUUCUCGGACACUGAUGGUUGAGUGGUCGGUGUUAUGGAUGAACCACUUUAACAGAUAAAUUCCAUAGAGCGGGAGUUCCUGGCGGAUAUUCGAUGGUGAAGUACUAUUCUUGGAUUCUGAUGGUUGAGUGGUCGGUAUUAUGGAUAAACAACUUUAGCAGACAAAGUUCCAUUGAGCUUUAGUUCCUGGCGGAUAUCCGAUGACCAGACACUAUUCUCGGACCCUGAUGGUUGAGUGUUCGGUGCUAUGGAUGAACCACUUGAACAGACAAAGUUCCAUAGAGCGGGACUUCCCGGCGGAUAUCCGAUGACCAAGCAAUAUUCUCAGACUCUGAUGGUUAAGUGGUCGGUGUUAUGGAUGAACAACUUUAACAGAAAAAGUUCCAUGGAACGGGGGUUCCCGACCCAUGUCCGAUGACCAAGCAUUAUUCUCUGACUAUGAUGGUUGAGUGGUCGGUGUUAUGGUUGAACCACUUUAACAAAGUUCCAUGGGGCGGGAGUUCCUGGCGGAUAUUCGAAGAUGAAGCACUAUUCUCGGACUCUGAUGGUUGAGUGGUCGGUGUUAUGGAUAAACCACUUUAACCGACAAAGUUCCAUGGAGCGGGGGUUUCCGGCCAAUGUCCGAUGACCAAGCACUAUUCUCGGACUCUGAUGGUUGAGUGGUCGGUGUUAUGGUUGAACCACUUGAACAGAACAAAUUUCCAUAGAGCGGGGGUUCCUGGCGGAUAUUCGAUGAUGAAGCACUAUUCUCGGACUCUAAUGGUUGAGUGGUCGGUGUUAUGGAUAAACCACUUUAACCGACAAAGUUCCAUGGAGCGGGGGUUUCCGGCCAAUGUCCGAUGACCAAGCACUAUUCUCGGACUCUGAUGGUUGAGUGGUCGGUGUUAUGGUUGAACCACAAUAGCAGACAAAGUUCCAAAGAGCAGGAGUUCCCGGCGGAUAUUUGAUGACCAAGCACUAUUCUCGGACUCUGAUGGUUGAGUGGUCGGUGUUAUGGAUAAACCACUUGAACAGAACAAAGUUCCAUAGAGCGGGGGUUUCUGGCAGAUAUCCGAUGAUGAAGCACUAUUCUCGGACUCUGAUGGUUGAGUGGUCGGUGUUAUGGAUGAACCACAAUAGCAGACAAAGUUCCAAAGAGCAGGAGUUCCCGGCGGAUAUUUGAUGAUGAAGCACUAUUCUCGGACUCUGAUGGUUGAGUGGUCGGUGUUAUGGAUAAACCACUUUAACAGAUAAAGUUCCAUGGAGCGGGGGUUCCCGGCCCAUUUACGAUGACCAAGCACUAUUCUCGGACUCUGAUGGUUGAGUGGUCGGUGUUAUGGAUGAACCACUUGAACAGAUCAAAUUUCCAUGGAGCGGGGGUUCCCGGCGCAUAUCCGAUGACCAAGCACUAUUCUCGGACUCUGAUGGUUGAGUGGUCGGUGUUAUGGAUGAACCACUUUAACAGACAAAGUUCAAUAGAGCGGGGGUUCCCGGCCCAUGUCCGAUGACCAAGCACUAUUCUCGGACUCUGAUGGUUGAGUGGUCGGUGUUAUGGAUACACCAUUUGAACAGAACAAAGUUCCAUGGAGCAGGGGAUCCCGGCCCAUGUCCGAUGACCAAGCACUAUUCUCGGACACUGAUGGUUGAGUGGUCGGUGUUAUGGAUGAACCACUUUAACAGAUAAAGUUCCAUGGAGCGGGGGUUCCCGGCGGAUAUCCGAUGACCAAGCAAUAUUCUCAGACUCUGAUGGUUAAGUGGUCGGUGUUAUGGAUGAACUACUUUAGCA
ensembl:lncRNA